UUCGACUGUUUACCAAAAACAUAGCCCUUGAAACAAUCAAAGGUGAUACCUGCUCAAUGGUGGUAAAUUAUAAAGGUUAAAACCUAAAAAUACCACUCAAAAGAUGCGGUAUACUAACCGUAAUAAUGUAGCAUAAUAAUUCGCCAUUUAAUUAAUGGAUGGUAUGAAAGGUCAAACGAGUAUAUCACUGUCUUAAUUAGAGAUAUUGUGAAAAUAGGCUAAUAGUAAAGACACUAUUUUAAAUUGUAAGACGAAAAGACCCUAUAGAGCUUGACUAUAACUUUCUGGUAAAAAUAAAUUUAUUUAUUUAUUAGAAAGGUAGGUAGUUUAGUUGGGGUGACUGUUUUCUAUAAUAAACGAGAACGAUCAAAAUUAAUCUGUUAAUUUACUGUAUAACUUAUAAGUUUAACAGUUAUUAUAAUAGGAGAAAAUGACCCGUUGCACAAAAUCAAUUCUGGCAACGAUCUACAAAUAAAAGCUACCUUAGGGAUAACAGGAUAAUAUUGCCUUAGAGUUCAUAUCAAAGGCAAAGUUUAUCACCUCUAUGUUGAAUUAAGAUAUCCUAAAGAUGCAGCAGUUUUUAAGGGUAGGUCUGUUCGACCUUUAAAAUCUUACAUGAUUUGAGUUCAUUCC
rnacentral:rRNA from 1 species